AGGAGUGUAGCUCAAUUGGUAGAGCGUCGGUCUCCAAAACCGAAGGUUGCGGGUUCGAUUCCUGUCACUCCUGCCA
rnacentral:tRNA from 1 species